rnacentral:misc_RNA from 1 species
AAAAAAAAAAAAUUGUCUAGUGAAAAGGAUUGCAUUUAAAAAUGAGAUGUGGAAUCUAAAUUACAACACAACAAAAUAUAAACACUUCUACAUAAAACUUGCAGCUCUAACAUCACACUUUCAAUAAAAGCUGAAGCCACUAUUUUGCAAUAACCCCAUUAUGAAAUUGCAUCAUGUAUACAGUACCGAUAAGAUCGACAUUUGUUAUUGGCUAGAAAAUUCACUAGAAAUCAUCUCAAAUCUUCUACUCACACCUAAUACAUGAAAAGCUGGCAUUCCCCGUGACCAAAUUUAAAUGAUAAAAAAUCUAGAGGGUGAUUGAGUCCAUUAGGUUUAUCUUUUCUGUAUCAAAGAAUGAUUAAGAAUCCAUGUAGAAGAGAACAAAAUGGCAAAUUUAUUAGCCUCAAGUUUUGAUUUAGUGGGAUGAUGGUUAAGGGAUUCCAUAUGGUGUUUUUUUUUUUUAAAUCACAAAAAAUAUCUUUUCGUGAAAUUACAAUUUAAUUCAGUUGUUUCAAUUUAAAAUAAUUUGAGCAAAUUGAUUGCAAUUUUAUCCAAUUGAACAAAA